AUCGCUUCUCGGCCUUUUGGCUAAGAUCAAGUGUAGAAUUGUUUAGCAUCAUACUAGAUAUACUAGAUAGUACUCAAUAAAAGAUAGCUGCUAUUUUAUGGUGGUUUUUCUAUUCCUCUUAAUCUUU
rnacentral:snRNA from 1 species